UACGUAGGGUGCGAGCGUUGUCCGGAAUUAUUGGGCGUAAAGAGCUCGUAGGCGGCCUGUCGCGUCGGCUGUGAAAACCCGAGGCUCAACCUCGGGCCUGCAGUCGAUACGGGCAGGCUAGAGUUCGGUAGGGGAGACUGGAAUUCCUGGUGUAGCGGUGAAAUGCGCAGAUAUCAGGAGGAACACCGGUGGCGAAGGCGGGUCUCUGGGCCGAAACUGACGCUGAGGAGCGAAAGCGUGGGGAGCGAACAGG
rnacentral:rRNA from 1 species